AAUCUUAGAAACAUGAACAGUGACGCUCCUUAUUCACUAUGCAUAUAUUUCUUGAUUUGGCAUUGACCAUGAGUCACAUGCACCAUUAAGGAACAAUAAUGAAACUAAAAACAAAAAGUAAAGCAACACUUCUCGCAAUGAGCGAAAAACAAUACACCAGUAUUAACCCUGCUAAUUCUGAACUUAAAACAAUAUUAAAAUUACAGGAGUACUUUUCCUGUAAUUUUCCUUAGAUGCAAAUGCACCAAAAUUACAGUGUAAAUAUUGCAUGUUCUCAUUUUUAAACAUUCACAACAUGGCAGUAAUCUUAUUAUAGAAAACGACAACAAUUGCUGCAUUUUACGCAACUGCAAGUAUGGAAGAUGGACAAAAUUUCCUGCUUG
rnacentral:misc_RNA from 1 species